UGGUAUUCAGGUAUGCUGGUC
rnacentral:siRNA from 1 species